CCUACGGGGUGCUGCAGUCGAGAAUUUUUGGCAAUGGGCGAAAGCCUGACCAAGCGAUGCCGCGUGCGGGAUGAAGGCCUUCGGGUUGUAAACCGCUGUCAGUGGGGAGGAAAGCUUUGUGAAGAGCAAGGCUUGACCUAUCCGCAGAGGAAGUGUGGGCUAAGUUCGUGCCAGCAGCCGCGGUAAGACGAACCACACAAAGGUUAUACUGGAUUGCAGGGCUUAAAGGGUGCGUAAGCUGGUCGGGUGUGAAAUACCUCGGCUCAACCGAGGAACUGCGCCCAAAACUACUGUGCUUGAGGAAGAUAGAGGUAAGCGGAACUUACGGUGGAGCGGUGAAAUGCGUUGAUAUCGUAAGGAACACCUGUGGCGAAAGCGGCUUACUGGGUCUUUUCUGACGCUGAUGCACGAAAGCUAGGGGAGCAAACGGGAUUAGAUACCCCAGUAGUC
rnacentral:rRNA from 1 species